GCCCUUGUAGCUCAGCUGGUAGAGCGCCUGAUUUGUAAUCAGGAGGUAGCAGGUUCGAGUCCUGCCGGGGGCACCA
rnacentral:tRNA from 1 species